CUUGAAACACGGACCAAGGAGUCUAGCAUGUGCGCGAGUCAUUGGGAAUCACUAAACCUAAAGGCGCAAUGAAAGUGAAGGCCCGCCUAGCGCGGGCCGAGGGAAGAUGGGCGGUCACGGUUUCCGUGCCGCUCCGCACUCCCGGGGCGUCUCGUUCUCAUUGCGAGAAGAGGCGCACCAAGAGCGUACACGCUGGGACCCGAAAGAUGGUGAACUAUGCCUGGUCAGGACGAAGUCAGGGGAAACCCUGAUGGAGGUCCGUAGCGAUUCUGACGUGCAAAUCGAUCGUCGGAACUGGGUAUAGGGGCGAAAGACUAAUCGAACCAUCUAGUAGCUGGUUCCCUCCGAAGUUUCCCUCAGGAUAGCUGGCGCUCGUCGCCUACGAGUCUCAUCCGGUAAAGCGAAUGAUUAGAGGCAUUGGGGUCGAAACGGCCUCAACCUAUUCUCAAACUUUAAAUGGGUGAGAUCUCCGGCUUGCUCGAACUUAUGAAGCCGCGAGACACGGAUCAGAGUGCCAAGUGGGCCAUUUUUGGUAAGCAGAACUGGCGCUGUGGGAUGAACCAAACGCCGAGUUAAAGCGCCUAAAUCGACGCUUAUGGGAUACCAUGAAAGGCGUUGGUAACUUAAGACAGCAGGACGGUGGCCAUGGAAGUCGGAAUCCGCUAA
rnacentral:rRNA from 1 species